rnacentral:rRNA from 1 species
GCCGCGGUAAUACGGAGGGGGCGAGCGUUGUCCGGAUUUAUUGGGCGUAAAGGGCGUGUAGGCGGUCUGGUAAGUCGGGGGUGAAAACCCGGGGCUCAACCCCGGGAGUGCCUCUGAUACUGCUGGACUUGAGUGCUCUAGAGGGCAGUGGAAUUGCCGGUGUAGCAGUGAAAUGCGUAGAGAUCGGCAGGAACACCAGUGGCGAAGGCGACUGCCUGGGGAGUAACUGACGCUGAGGCGCGAAAGCUAGGGGAGCGAACAGGAUUAGAUACCCUGGUAGUCCUAGCCGUAAACGAUGAGUGCUAUGUGUGAGGGGUAUCGACCCCCCUCGUGCAGCAGUUAACGCAAUAAGCACUCCGCCUGGGGAGUACGGCCGCAAGGUUGAAACUCAAAGGAAUUGACGGGGGCCCGCACAAGCAGCGGAGCAUGUGGUUUAAUUCGACGCAACGCGAAGAACCUUACCAGGGCUUGACAUCCUCUGAAACUCUUAGAGAUAAGAGCCCCUGAGCUUUGCUCAGGCAGGGAGACAGGUGGUGCAUGGUUGUCGUCAGCUCGUGUCGUGAGAUGUUGGGUUAAGUCCCGCAACGAGCGCAACCCUUGUCCUGUGUUGCCAGCACUAAAGGUGGGCACUCACAGGAGACUGCCGGGGACAACUCGGAGGAAGGUGGGGAUGACGUCAAAUCAUCAUGCCCCUUAUGUCCUGGGCUACACACGUGCUACAAUGGCCGGAACAACGGGAAGCAAGCCUGCGAAGGCAAGCGAAACCCUUAAAACCGGUCCCAGUUCAGAUUGCAGGCUGAAACUCGCCUGCAUGAAGCUGGAGUUGCUAGU